UGCUUUGACAGCUCGUGUGAUGUCUGAACUAAUUCAUCCCCAUCAGGUGUUCCCCAUCUGCCAAGGGCCCAGCAUGGUUAGCUGAGCUCCACUCCUGGACCUGACAUCUACAAAACAAGACACCUUCCUCCAGUUCUUUAUACAUUAGCCAUGGUCUUGGCUGGGAGAACAAAGAGGACAUCCUUCUCUCCAACCCCAGCUCCUCAAACACAUCCAAACAACAGCUCUGACCACAAUCGACCACCCGGGAGCAGGAGAGAAAUGGAGCCACAUUAACUGCCAGGCUCUGUUGUCCCUUCAUUUUCCCUCGUCUUCCCUUCAGAGCAGUUUGUGUAGAUUGUAUUUUAAACCUGCCUCUUGGAGAAAUCCUCUUGAUAUUUUCUUUGCAGACAUCAGCUGCUGGAUUAUUUAGGGGCACCUAAAAGAAUUGCAGCAAAGGUUGGCAAAAAAUGACCCUUCCCAGCAUGAGUUUGGCCUUGUGGUCUGUAAGAGGAGCUGGGUGAUGUCUGAUAUCUCUCAGGUACUUUGAGAGGUCUGUAUGACCCAGAGUGUGUUUGUUUUUACAAAUAUUUUGUCUAAUAGGGAACCCCUCUCAUCCUAAUGAGCUAUGCCCUCAAGUCUUCCUGCCACCCUGACUACAAAAAUCCUGGACACGAUGAUGUGGAUGAUCUGCAAAAUGUUCUGCUUGUCAUGCAGGACAAUAAAUCUGGAGCUUGUGUUCUCCCCAUCUGGUCACUGGCACCUUCCCACCCUCCUUGGGCAAGAGUUAUCUCCUGCUCUCCUGCUCCCCGAGGCACAACCUCAAUAUAAAUAAGAAGAAAAUGUGUUGUGGCCUCUCACACAUCUUAAAUAUCUGAUUAAAAAAUAGAGAUUAUGAAUUGAGAAGCAAAUCACAGCAUUUCUGCAGUACCAGCUGGGGCAAAAUGAGAUUCAGGAAAUUUUCAAUCAAUCUUGAAAAAAAACCCCAGGAAUCCUGACUCCUGAGGAAUACUAAGCAAAGGAGGGGAUCAAAUAUUGUCAGCACCAUAUUGGAUUCAAGCACAUCUUGUUAAAAUCUGGGUAAAAUAGCAGCAGGCUGGAUUGUGACAGGGAGGAAGACUCAGCUGGAGAAGAGCCAAAGCCCUCUCCAGGGAACACAACGAGGAGCAUUUUGAGGUUUGUAAAUUGCUAACCCCAGAACAGUUUUCUGUGAUCUGUUAACUGCAGGAAGUCCAUGUUUGCAGAGUUUCCACCAAGGCUUGAUGCGUGUGUUCCCCGCAGCCUGGAGUGCCCAGCAGGGCACUGUGGAGGCACUGACACCACGUUAUCACUGCCCCCUCCCCUCAGCUACUGCCACAAAGACAGAAAUGAGCUAUCUCCUGGGGAUAUUGAUCUGACCUGGACCAUUCCCUGCCUGCAGACAUGGGGAAUUGGGGCAUUUUCUGCAAGGAAUGCAAGCAGUGCUGUUCCACAGGACUCCUAAAUUGAGACCAUUUGCCAGAGGGCAUUUUCACAAGGCAAGGUCUCAAAAGAUGCAGUCUCUCAAAGGCAGAGGGCUGGGCUGGUUUUACCAAGAUCCUGAGACUCCCGAGGCUCUGGGAAUGCUCUCCAGAAAAAGUGGAUUAAAUCUGAAGUCACUUGAAAUGUUCUCAAAGCAAGGGACUGGGGGGGGCCUGGAAGUUUUGACAUGUCAGGCCAAAACAUGAACGGCUCUGACUUCACCAUCUUCCACUGCUGUUUCCACACAUUCAUAACUGCAGAAAAUAAUUUUCUUUCCAUUCCAAUUCCAACAGGGUGAAGGAAUCAGCAGGGAUGUUCAGUGUAGGUCAAAUUACAUUAAAUCACAGUGGAGAGCAGAAAUUUGUAACAGUCCUAAGACAUCAGGCCUGAAUCUUUUCAGCAGAAAUGAUCAAAGCCAAAUUGUCGCCUUUUUUUCCCCCCCACCUCUUCUUUAUUUACAUUGUAUCCAUUCUAAGGAGAGGAAUUUUAAGGCAGCCGAAUUUAGAGGAAUUCAGAAAAUCCACUGCGUUCCCCAAGGCUCCCAGAGAACAUGUGUGCAAAGAAGUGUGACAAUUGUUUGAACCCCAAUUAGACCCCGCAGAUAUGAGCAGACCCUGAGGGUGUGAAGCUCCAAAGGGAAAUUUUAAUAAUUCAGGAAUUUUAUUCAAAGUCUUAAAUUGGCUGCACAAAGAGGUGAAAAGGAGGUAAUAACUUUCAAAGGGGACAGGAGGAAGCUGAUUGCCUUUUUCUCAACGGUUCUAACAGAUAAUGUGCAGAGUGAUAAGCAGGAAUCCAUCCAAGCUGCAGGUUGAGGACUUACCUUGAAGUACCAGUCAAACAACAUCACUUCUACCUUCAUGGCCAGGUCACAAAGAAUAAACACUCUGCAAAUGCUCUACAGCUUUCUAGAUAAGAAAUCCCACAUCUGGGAAGCCCACACAAAAUUAUAGACCCAGGCUCGGUGACCUCCCUUUAAUAAAUAGCACAAUGUGAAAGCACUGAAUAAAAAGCCUUUGCCACCCCACCUAUGCCAGAUUUUCAGGCUAAAGCUCUUCCUGGAAAUGACAAAGGGAGAUAAGCAUUAACCAAAAUGAUCUGGCUGGCUGUGGGAGUGCAAUGAGAGUGAAAAAGAGGGAAAAAGAAAGAAAGCCUCCUCUGGAAAAACUCCAUGCAGAAAGGGGCAGAGAGGAAACAACUGGAAGGAAGUUUUAAAAGUUGUUUAACUAGAGGAGUUGAAGUGUAGGGAUACAAGUGACACAAAUCCACUUUUUCAGUCACAGAAGGGACUCAGUGGUGCUCACAGCCCCACAAGAGGAGCCUCAUGGCAUCCACAUGUGCUGGAGGAAGGAAAAGAGCCUCUUCUCUGAAAGCUUUUUUAAUUAUAAAGAAUAAACAAAGCACACUCCUCCACUUUAAAUACAGAAAACUGGGACAUGGAGAGGCUGACACUGAGACUCCCAAGUUCCCCAGGAGCCUCUGACUUUUUGUUGAAGUAUUUUACCCACUGCAAGCCAGAGGAAGCUGAUGCAGCUUUGCUGAGUCCCACCACAGUGGUUCAAACACCUCCCAGAAGGCAUUUAUGGCUCUUAAAGCACAUAAAAGCACAUUUUCCUCUGGAUGUGCCUGCCUUUGUGACUUGAAUCCUUCUCAUUUCAGGACCAGCAGUUUGUGUUUGAUGUGGGCGAGCAGCCACAGCUCAGGGCUCUGGAUGCCCCCUGGAGCCACCUGUGUCCAAUCUGCUGCUGGCACUGCACAUUUCAGAGCAGUGGAACUCUGUGGGACUGAGGACAGACGCAACCAAGAGCACUCUGAACGCAGAGAUGGGAACUGCUCUGCCCAGUUAAUUCAGGAUUGACUCCUGAGCUGUCACAAAGGACAGUUUUCAAGCCCAGAAUGCUUCCAUCAUCCAUUCCAAGGGCUUUGCCCAUGCCACUGGAAUUAGUCAUAAAAACAAGAGGAAUUUUAGAUUAUCUUAAAUCCUAUGAGAGGUCCUGUGAUCACCUCAGACUCUUUCAAAGAACUGCAAUUAAAAUAAUUCAUGGGUACUUUUUGCCCCGUGCAGCCCCUGAGAUCCUGCAUUAAAUAUCACUCAGCUGAACUCUUCACUCCAGCUCGGUUGUCACCUUUGGCCCUUAGAUGAUGUUCCUGUUUUGGGGAAGCUGUAGGGUCUCUGGUUCACAGAUCCUACUGCACACCAUCUUGAAAUAAAACAACUUGGAUGCAUUUUAACCUCCACCCAUUCUACCUUGGCUGGAGAGCAGCACUGCCAGGGCUUUGCCAGGGCUGUUUUGGAAGGAAUUUUAAUUAAUUGCUUUGUGUACAAUUUAGAAUUUAGCAAAGGCUCAUAUUUCAAAGCCAUCAGCAUGACAGUGCCACAAAGGGGAAGGAGAAAUAAUCCACUGAAGCCAACAUCCAUAAAAUGUGAAAGAGCUCUGGUAAAUUCUGAAUGAUAAGCAUAAAAGGAGACCCAUGAGAGACUAAACCUUCUGUUGUACAGUUACUGUUUUGAGGUAAAUGAGCAUGAUUAUUCCAUUAUAAACUACUUUUGUUUCAGAAGUUUUGUCCUCUUAGCCAUGGAAAAUCUCUCCAGGUCUAUCCUUGUUCAGGAUCUCAGAGAGAGAACAGAACUUUCCAAACUAAACAAUGAGUUUGGCUCUUUUUCAAAGCAGAGGAAAAAUUCAGGGAGGUGGUCUUAUUCCAGCAUCAGUGGAAUAAACUUUGGUCAAUGAAAUAUUGAAUAUAUUGAGCAAAUCUCAUCAAUUAAAUGAAAAACUAAAUCAGCUGGCAGAGAUACAGCUGGUAGAAAAUGACUGCUGAAAACAUGCAAUAAUUAAAGAGAAGUGAAAAACAGAUUAUGUGAUGAGGUGCCUGCUAAAACAGGAUAUGGAACCCAGCAAUCAAGAGGUGCCUUCCAGUUUCUGGGUCCUACAGACUUUGCUGAUUUAUGAUUCUUAGGAAUUACCUGGCUGAUGAUGAGACAAGCAAAGAAAUGCUGCCUGAACAUACCAUUGCUAUUGCUAUUCCAUCAGAAGCAAAGGAGCAAGAGCUCAGGAGAGAGCCAGGAAUGUGGGAAUGGCACCAAGCUGGGACUUGGGAGAGCUGAGAUCAUCCCUCACUUCUGCCAUUUCAGCCCAGUCAGUUCUCACCCUGAUUUCUAAGAAGUCUAAACAAAGUACAAAUAACUAAACUUCCUAAUUCUAUGUUUCAAACUGCUCUAGAAAGAUUCUUCAGUUUACCCUGAAUAAAAAGGCUUCCUCUGCUCUCAAUUUCUGCAUAAACUCUAUGCUCUUCAUGCUAGAAUGUCUUAAUUCUUUUAAUAUACCACCUGCAUUAGAGGUAGCCCCAAGUGUGUUAAAUAAGAGGAGCCAAGUGCCUACAGCUCUUAAUAAGGUUUAAUCACAGCCACCCUCUAAAUAGGUCACAGGUGGGGACAAGAUUGGUGGUGAAAAGGACAAGAGAGAACUUGGGAAAUGGUACAACCUGGCAGGAGCAGAGCUGCUCUGACACCACCACCGUGGUGUUUAGGGUAGUACUUACUCUUCAGGCCAAUUAUUUGUAGAAUAAAUUCAAACCUCUAGGAUUUGCAACAUCUCUCCCCAACAGGUAUCCCAAGCACGAUGAAGAAUUCACAUUUACAGGAGCAAAGCCCAAGGAAAUGGCAUCUGCUGAGCCCUGUGAUAUCCCAGCUUGCCUUGGCUCGUGUCAGAGCCUUGCAGCUAUUUAAGCUGUUGUUUAAAUGAGAAGCAUCCAAUGUGGCAUUAUGUAAUAAUUAUAUAUAGGCAGCCAGCCUCAGGAAGAGACCACACUAAAAACAGGAAUCCAAAGCUCUUAACUCAUUUUUGGUACCACCAGAUUUAAUAAAA